rnacentral:rRNA from 1 species
GAUGAACGCUGGCGGCGUGCCUAAUACAUGCAAGUCGAGCGAACGGACGAGAAGCUUGCUUCUCUGAUGUUAGCGGCGGACGGGUGAGUAACACGUGGAUAACCUACCUAUAAGACUGGGAUAACUUCGGGAAACCGGAGCUAAUACCGGAUGAUAUUUUGAACCGCAUGGUUCAAAAGUGAAAGACGGUCUUGCUGUCACUUAUAGAUGGAUCCGCGCUGCAUUAGCUAGUUGGUAAGGUAAUGGCUUACCAAGGCAACGAUGCAUAGCCGACCUGAGAGGGUGAUCGGCCACACUGGAGCUGAGACACGGUCCAGACUCCUACGGGAGGCAGCAGUAGGGAAUCUUCCGCAAUGGGCGAAAGCCUGACGGAGCAACGCCGCGUGAGUGAUGAAGGUCUUCGGAUCGUAAAACUCUGUUAUUAGGGAAGAACAUAUGUGUAAGUAACUGUGCACAUCUUGACGGUACCUAAUCAGAAAGCCACGGCUAACUACGUG